CGUGUAGGUGGUUUGGUAAGUAGGGCGUGAAAGCUCCCGGCUCAACUGGGAGAGGCCGUUCUAAACUGCCAAGCUAGAGGAUGGUAGAGGGAGGUGGAAUUCCGGGUGUAGCGGUGGAAUGCGCAGAUAUCCGGAGGAACACCAGUGGCGAAGGCGGCCUCCUGGGCCACUCCUGACACUCAGACGCGAAAGCUAGGGUAGCAAACG
rnacentral:rRNA from 1 species